CGCCCAGGGAUGGAGGACCAGGCAGGGAGGGGGGCCGGAGAAGCGAAAGAGAUAGAUCAAAAAGAGGAAAGAAGAGGGACUGGGAAGCUAGGGCGACUGAGGAUACGCCGAGGUCUAGUCCGGCUUGGCAGCGCGAACUAGAGAGCUUUGCGAGCCGCGGGGCUGGGAAGUCAGGGCAUAAGGGCCAGGCCUGCCCUCUGGUGCUUUCGGCUCCUCGGGCCCCCGACUUUAAAGUGCUCAAGUUGGGGUCGGCGCCAUCAUGACGCCUGAGACUGAGGCCCCGCGGCAGAGCGCACUGAAGCAAGGAUCUCUGCAGGGGUCAGCAUCCGGCUUCCUCCCCAGACUGAGCUCUUGAUGAGGCAGGCAGGAGUCAUAGAUGUUGGUGGUACCCAAGGUGGCUUUUUAUUUUUUAUUUUUAUUUAUCACGUUGUCUAAGGAUAGAUGGGGUAGGGCCAGCAAUUCACAUCACCCGGGACCACCCAGACUGACUAUCCAGGAGCCUCUAAGCAACAUCACCACCCUGCAGAAGAUUCCCUGCGAGGCUCAGCAAUUAACGGAGAGGUUUGCAGCAGGAGCUACUGAUGUGAUUAGUAUUCAGGCUUAAUUCUCAGAACCCGCUCGGGAAUUGAAAGUGCGGUAGUAUUCAGCCGCAUUUCGAAACAUCAAUAAAAUGUUAGUCAUUUGCGGAUGAAUGAAAACAUUUUUCUUUACCGUCUGCUGUGCUAGGGAAAUUAUUGUCAAAUGGCAGCCUCCCACUAAUAUUGAUGCCAGAUACCUAAAGCUCUCCUCUUGUGUACUUCAUUUAACAUUCUUG
rnacentral:lncRNA from 1 species